CUACGAAGACUGCUGUCUGAAAUAUAUUAAGUACAAGAAACAGGCCUUUUUACGACAUAUCAAGACAUACAUUAUUCAAGAGGUGAAUGGGAGCUGCAAUCGGCCUGCUAUCAUCUUUGUUUUGCCAAGGAAUAAAUUCAUCUGUGGCAACCCCAAUGACAAAUGGGUUAAGGAUAAAAUGAGAGAUCUGGACAGACAGAGGAAAACCAUCAAGAACUCCUGGAAGCCCAGAGAGAAAAUCAAGGACUGCAGAGGAAACAAUACCAACAUAACCAGGCCACUUGUCCAAGAUGUCCACGCUCAUCGAAUCCAUGGCAUCGCCAGAAACCAGACCAGACUGAAGCAUGGCUGAAGAUAAUAAUCCAAGAAGUGUCCCCCUACUUAGAAACCUUCCACAGGCCCCUAGUGCUUCAAGGAUGAACCAGGCAUUUAAAGCCUUCUACAAUCUAGCUCCUACUUGCCUUUCUGGAUGUUUCAUAUAACUUCCCUUCAAAGUAUCUAGUGAAACUGGCACAUUUAUGCUUUCAUGAACUCAGCAUGCCAUUCCCCCAUCUCCAUGUUUUUGUUUAUACAGGUCACCUUCCUUGCAUGAAACAUAUACCUCCCGAAGUGCCUUUUGGUUUUACUAGCCUCUUUCCAGUCAGCUCAUGAGCCUUGCACUCAACGCUUAUCCCUAUCCCACCCUGAGUACACACUGUAUCUCUGCACCAUAUAGUAUGUAAGCCCUUUGAAGAUGGGCACUAUUAUGUUUUUGCCUUCGGUAGCCCCAGUGCCCACAGAAAGAAUUCAACAAAUUCUUACUAACUUGGAAUCAAUAAAGGCCAAGCCAAUGUUGCUGCUGGAACAAUUCUCCAAAUCCCAACAUCUGCCGUGGGGCCAGUGUCUCUGGUUUCUUUUCUCCUUCCCUUGAUACUUACUAGGUCCUACCUUGAGGCAUGUCUACCUGUCAUCUCCUCUAGGCACCACGUUAGUCCUACCAUUUAUGCCCACACAAAUGGGUUACUGCUAUUGGUUCUCUGCUGGCAGGAUUUGAACCUUGGUCUUCCUAAGUCCAAGUUCAGCAUUCUGUCUACUAUACCACACUAUUUCUGCAGGAACUCAGAGUUGCCUCUG